rnacentral:lncRNA from 1 species
GUUCCCUGUGUGUAAGCAGUUUGAUAGGAAAGCAAAGGGGAAAAGCUAGAGCUAGCCAUUCUCUGUCCUAGAAUUUCCUGGCAUUAACCUGGUUCUUAAAAAUAUAUAUGUACUAUACCCUUAAACUCCUAGAGGCUUUGUCUCAUUAUAUCCUAUUCUUCUGCUACCCUUUACCUUAUCUUACCUAUUACUCCUAAGUUCUGUGAAAUACCCCUUGGAUCUGGAUUGAUUAUACCUGAUUUGCACCACUGCAUAUCAGUGGUAUAUUGUGACUGUGAAUUUUCAUAUGCUGUGUUUGUAAGAGUCUCUAAUUUUCUGAUCUCUGCAGCACGGUUUCUACUCCAGCCCCACCAGCAGCAGAAAACAUACCUAACAUCGUGGCAGAAAACAUUCCUAACACCAUGGCCACUGCACCUCAACUCAGCUCUCAACACCCAGCGAGUUGGCACGGGUUCACUCUGCACCAACAAGAGGAGCAAACCCCACUGUUUCCUGACUGCCCUGCCAUCAGGAGCCUUUCCCUUGGAGGGAAACCUCCAAGUGGUUUCCUGAAAUCGAUGACAAAAUUGAGGAGAUCUCCAGCUCCUUCCGAAAAGGUUCACACUGCUGUGGCCACCCCAGGUGGCCCUGAUGUCCCUAGCGACCUUGAUCUCAACACCACUUUCCAUGGUCAGCAAGGGGAGCAACCAAACCACAGCCCUCCUGCCUCUCCCAACCUGCUUCACGCAACACCAUCACCCCCGACCCAGAGCCCAGGAUUUUUCCGUAAAUUGCUGGGAAGGUUCAGAAAGAGGACUUUCCCUCAGGAGGGAAGACGAGCCCCGUCAGCCAGGAUUCCCAGCGGAAGCCCCCCGGGUGAAGUCCCCCUCGCUGGGGGCACGUCCAGUGACACUUCGGCACUCGGGCAGCCGCAGGACCUGCAACCUGCCCCACCUGACUGCCCCCCUGCCUCUCCUGUCCCAUCCCGCCACUCUGUCCCUGCGUCCCCGCCAGUGCGGGCAAGAAGGUCCCUGUUCUCCCGCUUCUGCUGCUGCAUGGCAGCUGAUGGAACUUCACGAAACGCUUGUUAAAGAAUGUGCAACUUUCAGAUGCGUGUGUCAAAGAAAUUAACAAUUUAUAAAGAAAAUAUCAAUUUACCUUUCUUACUUGGAAAAGUCAACUUUAUUGAGGGUCAGAUUUUCGCCGAUCCUCUGUGCACGCUCCUGUGCCUCGCAGGUGUCACCUGCACCAUCUGGCCCGUCCAGAUGCACAGGGACCGGCGAGCAGCCUCUUGCUCUGUGGGUAACGUCCUUUCCGUCUCCGCAGUCCUUGGGACCAUUUCUGUUCACAGGGAAGGAACCAAACCAUUCCCGCCUCCACUUCUCACCCUGUUUUCCUGGUGCAUCCAUUCAACGUAGCUCUUUAUUUGGGCAAAACAAUGUCAGCAGCUGGGCAGGGGGAUAGAUUUUGUUGUCCCCUG